rnacentral:rRNA from 1 species
UACGGGGGGAGCAAGCGUUGUUCGGAUUUACUGGGCGUAAAGGGCGCGUAGGCGGCCUCCGCAAGUCAGUUGUGGAAAUCUCCGAGCUUAACUCGGAAAGGUCAACUGAUACUGCGGGGCUAGAGUGCGGAAGGGGCAACUGGAAUUCUUGGUGUAGCGGUGAAAUGCGUAGAUAUCAAGAGGAACACCUGAGGUGAAGACGGGGUUGCUGGGCCGACACUGACGCUGACAGCGCGAAAGCCAGGGGAGCAAACGGG